rnacentral:rRNA from 1 species
UACAGAGGGUGCGAGCGUUGUCCGGAAUCACUGGGCGUAAAGGGCGCGUAGGCGGCGCGGUAAGCGUGCGGUGAAAGCCCGGGGCUCAACCCCGGGUCGGCCGUGCGGACUGCCGGGCUGGAGCACUGUAGAGGCAGGUGGAAUUCCGGGUGUAGCGGUGAAAUGCGUAGAUAUCCGGAGGAACACCGGUGGCGAAGGCGGCUUCCUGGACCGACACUGACGCUGAGGCGCGAAAGCUAGGGGAGCAAACGGG